rnacentral:rRNA from 1 species
CUGCUGCCUUCCGUAGGAGUUUGGACCGUGUCUCAGUUCCAAUGUGGGGGACCUUUCUCUCAGAACCCCUACGCAUCGUCGGCUUGGUGGGCCGUUGCCCCACCAACUACCUAAUGCGCCGCAUGCCCAUCCGUGACCGGGGUCGCCCCCUUUGGCCGGCAGGGGAUGUCCCCUCCCGGCAUUAUGUUGUAUUAGGCGGGAUUUCUCCCGGUUAUCCAUCUGUCACGGCCAGGUUGCAUACGUGUUACUCACCCGUGCGCCGGUCGCCGGCGG